AGUGAACGCUGGCGGUAGGCCUAACACAUGCAAGUCGAACGGCAGCACAGUAAUAGCUUGCUCUUACGGGUGGCGAGUGGCGGACGGGUGAGGAAUACAUCGGAAUCUACUUUUUCGUGGGGGAUAACGUAGGGAAACUUACGCCAAUACCGCAUACGACCUACGGGUGAAAGCAGGGGAUCUUCGGACCUUGCGCGAUUGAAUGAGCCGAUGUCGGAUUAGCUAGUUGGCGGGGUACAGGCCCACCAAGGCGACGAUCCGUAGCUGGUCUGAGAGGAUGAUCAGCCACACGGGAACUGAGACACGGUCCAGACUCCUACGGGAGGCAGCAGUGGGGAAUAUUGGACAAUGGGCGCAAGCCUGAUCCAGCCAUACCGCGUGGGUGAAGAAGGCCUUCGGGUUGUAAAGCCCUUUUGUUGGGAAAGAAAAGCAGCAGGUUAAUACCCCGCUGUUCUGACGGUACCCAAAGAAUAAGCACCGGCUAACUUCGUG
rnacentral:rRNA from 1 species